UACGUAGGGUGCAAGCGUUGUCCGGAAUUAUUGGGCGUAAAGAGCUCGUAGGCGGUCUGUCACGUCGGCUGUGAAAACCCGAGGCUCAACCUCGGGCCUGCAGUCGAUACGGGCAAACUAGAGUACUGCAGGGGAGACUGGAAUUCCUGGUGUAGCGGUGAAAUGCGCAGAUAUCAGGAGGAACACCGGUGGCGAAGGCGGGUCUCUGGGCCGAAUACUGACGCUGGAG
rnacentral:rRNA from 1 species